AGUGAACGCUGGCGGUAGGCCUAACACAUGCAAGUCGAACGGCAGCACAGUAAGAGCUUGCUCUUACGGGUGGCGAGUGGCGGACGGGUGAGGAAUACAUCGGAAUCUACUUUUUCGUGGGGGAUAACGUAGGGAAACUUACGCUAAUACCGCAUACGACCUACGGGUGAAAGCAGGGGAUCUUCGGACCUUGCGCGAUUGAAUGAGCCGAUGUCGGAUUAGCUAGUUGGCGGGGUAAAGGCCCACCAAGGCGACGAUCCGUAGCUGGUCUGAGGGGAUGAUCAGCCACACUGGAACUGAGACACGGUCCAGACUCCUACGGGAGGCAGCAGUGGGGAAUAUUGGACAAUGGGCGCAAGCCGGAUCCAGCCAUACCGCGUGGGGGAAGAAGGCCUUCGGGUUGUAAAGCCCUUUUGUUGGGAAAGAAAAGCAGCAGGUUAAUACCCCGCUGUUCUGACGGUACCCAAAGAAUGCACCGGCUAACUUCGUG
rnacentral:rRNA from 1 species